UGGGGAAUCUUGCGCAAUGGGCGAAAGCCUGACGCAGCGACGCCGCGUGAGUGAUGAAGGCCUUCGGGUUGUAAAGCUCUGUGGAGGGGGACGAAUAAGGGCUGGCGAAUACCCAGCCUGAUGACGGUACCCCUUUAGCAAGCACCGGCUAACUCUGUGCCAGCAGCCGCGGUAAGACAGAGGGUGCAAACGUUGUUCGGAAUUACUGGGCGUAAAGCGCGUGUAGGCGGCUCGGAAAGUCGGAUGUGAAAGCCCUGGGCUUAACCUAGGAAGUGCAUUCGAAACUCCCGAGCUUGAGUUCUGGAGAGGAAGGCGGAAUUCUCGGUGUAGAGGUGAAAUUCGUAGAUAUCGAGAGGAACACCGGUGGCGAAGGCGGCCUUCUGGACAGUGACUGACGCUGAGACGCGAAAGCGUGGGGAGCAAACAGG
rnacentral:rRNA from 1 species